UCCUUUCUUAGCUCCACUCUGUGAUUCCACCCUGUCCAUAUCUCCCACCUCAUUUUUUUUGUUUAAACCCAAAAUUUUCACUUCCAUUCGACACUGCUCAGACCUUCUCAUCUUUCUCUUUAAUGGGGACUCUUCUCAGGCUAUUUUCACCUCCUCCUCCAACUAAAGCUUCUCAAAUAAGCCAUAUAACAAACCCCGUCCCUGUUUUCUCUUCUCCAAGACCCACUAUCACACCUUCAAGAAACUCCAACUGCAGAAUCCACAGCAGCAAGUCUGGAAGCUUUCUUGACUUGAAACCCGAAUCAAAACCAGACUUCUUAGAUUUUGAUCUCUCGUGGUUUGAUCCGGCUGCUAGAUCCC
rnacentral:misc_RNA from 1 species